UGGGGAAUAUUGGGCAAUGGGCGCAAGCCUGACCCAGCAACGCCGCGUGAAGGAAGAAGGCUUUCGGGUUGUAAACUUCUUUUAAGAGGGAAGAGCAGAAGACGGUACCUCUUGAAUAAGCCACGGCUAACUACGUGCC
rnacentral:rRNA from 1 species